UGCUCCUCCAAUCUUCAUCACGACACGGAGCGGUGACGCCGUCACAGAUGGGAGCGAGCCUAUUGCAAUUCAAUCGGUGGAAGAGCUCCGCAUUGGGAUCCCUCUCGAUCACAACAUCGUACGCAGAAAUCUGAACGGCACCCCUAUUGCUCGUGAUCCCCCCGCGCACCCAGCACACUAACCCCCAAUAUUGAUUUCGGAAUAAGUGGCCAUGUCCGCAAUUAAUCGAACAUCUGUAGGCCUUCGGCGAGAGAAGUAAGGGAAGAUGCGUUUGUUGAACCAGAGAAAGCAGCUAACACAAUCGUCGAUUGUGAAUUUGAGGAAUUUGAUUGGUUUGUGCACACGAGAGGUGACGAUGGCGAGGAUUUUGGAGCGUUAGAGAUACUUGCCUGAGGGAGAGAAGGAGAUUGGGUCCGAGGAGCAGAGGAGAGGAGAGGAGUGCUCGAGAGGAGAUAGAAGGCCAGGUGUUUUGCGCGCGUUUUGUAGAAUUUUUGAUCCA
rnacentral:misc_RNA from 1 species